CGCCUGUUUAUCAAAAACAUCUUUUCUUGUUAGUUUUUGAAGUAUGGCCUGCCCGCUGAUUUUAGGUUGAAGGGCCGCGGUAUUUUGACCGUGCAAAGGUAGCAUAAUCAUUAGUUCUUUAAUUGUGAUCUGGUAUGAAUGGCUUGACGAGGCAUGGGCUGUCUUGGAUUGGGAUUGUUUAUUGAAUUUGGUUUUUGAGUUAGAAUUCUUAAAUGUUUUUAUGGGACGAGAAGACCCUAUAGAGUUUAACAUUUAUUUGUAUAGCUUGUUUUGGUUUGUUUUGUAGUUGCUUUGUGUUAAUGUUUUGUUGGGGUGAUGGGAAGAAUUUUCUUAACUCUUCUUUAUUUUGGUAUAUUGAUUUAUAUUGGUUUUGAUCCAUUUAUUUUGAUUAUAAGAUUAAAUUACCUUAGGGAUAACAGCGUAAA
rnacentral:rRNA from 1 species